ACUGGUUGUCGUCAGCUCGUGUCGUGUAGAUGUGGUUAAGUCCGCAACGAGCGCAACCCCUAUUGUUAGUUGCCAUCAUUCAGUUGGGCACUCUAGCGAGACUGCCGGUAAUAAACCGGAGGAAGGUGGGGAUGACGUCAAAUCAUCAUGCCCCUUAUGACCUGGGCUACACACGUGCUACAAUGGUUGGUACAACGAGUUGCGAGUCGGUGACGGCGAGCUAAUCUCUUAAAGCCAAUCUCAGUUCGGAUUGUAGGCUGCAACUCGCCUACAUGAAGUCGGAAUCGCUAGUAAUCGCGGAUCAGCACGCCGCGGUGAAUACGUUCCCGGGCCUU
rnacentral:rRNA from 1 species